rnacentral:rRNA from 1 species
CAGGGAAUCUUCGGCAAUGGACGAAAGUCUGACCGAGCAACGCCGCGUGAGUGAAGAAGGUUUUCGGAUCGUAAAACUCUGUUGGUAGAGAAGAACGUUGGUGAGAGUGGAAAGCUCAUCAAGUGACGGUAACUACCCAGAAAGGGACGGCUAACUACGUGCCAC